CAAGAUUGUGAAAUAGCUUGGGACGCAACUCUCUCAAAGAUUUGGGCAAUUUGCAUUUUUUUCCUUGGUGUGGCAGUGAUAUCCACAACAACUAGUUUAUUUCUAUCUCAACAUAAGUGUAUCCAAAAACGUCUGCCUAAAACAAGUAUGGAGAGUGCCAAGGAUGUUACCAUACUACUAUCUACAUCAGUUCCCUUGAAACUCUGUGAUGGUACUUCUAGUGUGAACGACAACUCAUACAUGUAGGUUAUUGGUUCUCUAUAGUAUUUAUGUUUGACCCGUCUCGAUAUCAGUUAUGCAGUAAAACAAAUUAUCACAGUUCAUGCACAAACUGACUGCGACUCCUUGGGCUACAGUCAAGAGAUUGCUGAGGCAUCUGAAAAACACCAUCUUUCAUGGCCUUCAGAUCAGUUCUUCUGCUAAACCAGUGCUUCGAUCUUUCUCUGAUGCUAAUUGGGCAGGAAAUCUUGAUGACCG
rnacentral:lncRNA from 1 species